GGUGAACUUGUGGAAGGAUCAUUG
rnacentral:rRNA from 1 species